GAACAGUCAGCUCAGAAC
rnacentral:sRNA from 1 species